GAGAGGUCGAGUAGGAUGGGUCUCUAUUCCUAGGAGCGCAGGAGGAUGAGGGAUGAUCUUAUAGAGGUGUACAAAAUCAUGAGAGGAAU